rnacentral:rRNA from 1 species
CCUACGGGAGGCAGCAGUGGGGAAUAUUGCACAAUGGGGGAAACCCUGAUGCAGCGACGCCGCGUGAGUGAAGAAGUAUUUCGGUAUGUAAAGCUCUAUCAGCAGGGAAGAAAAUGACUGUACCUGAUUAAGAAGCCCCGGCUAACUACGUGCCAGCAGCCGCGGUAAUACGUAGGGGGCAAGCGGUAUCCGGGUUUACUGGGUGUAAAGGGAGCGUAGGCGGGAACAAAAGUCUGGAGUGAAAUGUCGGGGCUUAACCCCGGGAGUGCUUUGGAAACUGUGCAGCUUGAGUGCAGGAGAGGUAAGUGGAAUUCGUGGUGUAGCGGUGAAAUGCGUAGAUAUUAGGAGGAACACCAGUGGCGAAGGCGGCUUACUGGACUGUAACUGACGUUGAGGCUCGAAAGCGUGGGGAGCAAACAGGAUUAGAUACCCUUGUAGUC